rnacentral:rRNA from 1 species
UACGUAGGGUCCGAGCGUUGUCCGGAAUUACUGGGCGUAAAGGGCUCGUAGGUGGCCAACUAAGUCAGACGUGAAAUCCCUCAGCUUAACUGGGGAACUGCGUCUGAUACUGGAUGGCUUGAGAUUGGGAGAGGGAUGCGGAAUUCCAGGUGUAGCGGUGAAAUGCGUAGAUAUCGGGAGGAACACCAGUGGCGAAGGCGGCGACCUGGGCCAAUACUGACGCUGAGGUGCGAAAGCGUGGGGAGCAAACAGG